CAUAAUCAUAUUACAGUUAUACUAACCUCACAUAGUGCAUGAGAGUGAAUAAGAGAACAAGUAUAAAAUCACUAAAAAGGGAGAGCGUUAGCAGUAGUAUGGUAAUGGACAGAGUGUAAAAUGAUGUGCACUUUUAGAAGUUGACAAAAUAUGUGUGCAUUUGAAGAAUGUCAAAAUAUGAUUGAAAAUGAUUGACAUGACAACUGAAUAUGUAAACAGGUAGAACUGAACAGAAGAAAACUGACUUCAGCAGCUUUUAGGAAGAAGCUUUUUGAGUCUGUUUGUGUAUGAGGGCAUAGCUCUGAAUCACCUGACUCAUGACAGAAGCUUGAGCAAAUGGUGUCCAGGGUUUGUGGAGUCUUUGUGGAUUCGCCUGUUCACACAGCGAGUGGUGUAACAAGGAAGCAGAGACAGCAACUCGGUGCCAACCAUACUUAACUAAAACUAAAGUAAAAAAUAAAAUUAGAUGUAAAAAAAAAAUAGACUUGAGAAAACAUGAAAACUAACUGACAUGAAUUUGGGAACUUGAAAUACUAACUAUCCUUAGCUUUGGUCUUUUUUUUUUUUUAACUUUGAUGGACAUGUUUAUUGAGAUUUUUGUAUUUCUUUAAGAGUGUGGAGUCUGCGGAGUCGGGGCGGUCUGCCUCCCCCCACCGCAGGGAAAAGGGUAACACCACCUGUGUCUGGGUGCAGUUCUCCCCUCCAGGGGCAAGGGUACCUAGACCCGGUUUGUAGAGUACGCUUGGGGAGUGUGAUCGUGUGUACAGCGUCUCUUUAUGUCUGUCUCCACGUUGGUUGAGUGUGGAGUAAGUGCAUAUGAGAGCAUGAGGGUGGGAAUGGAUGUUUGUAUCUGUGUGUGCCUGUAUGUCUGUGUCUAUAUGUCAGGUUGGGUGUCAGGCGCCACCUCUCUGGGGACAUCUCAGGCCCUCCAAGGUUUGGAGGCCUAUCUCCCCCUACCACCACUUCCCCUGCCAGUGGCGGACUCCCUCAGACAUCGGUGCGUUGGUGGUUCUUUGUGUCUGGGGAUGGGCGUCCAGGUACACACCGGCUCACUCCUUGGCGGCCGCUUAUCGGGGCCUGGAGCCUGGGGCUCGCUCGGGCCACUUCGGAGGUGGGGUGCCCCCGGCCUCUCGGCCUGGGGCUCGGUCACUCAGGCGCAGCUGGCUGCCGGCGGAGCUCACGGGCACGUCACUGCAACUCCCCCUGGCUUAUGCUCUAAUUUGUGUUGUACAGUUAUUUCAUUUUUAACCUUAAUUUAUAUUUUAUUCCUUCCUAGUUAAAUUUACCCUUUUUAAUUUUUCAUAUUUAUUUCCUAUCUUAUUCAUAGCCUUUUCCUUUUUUGUUUUCUUUAGGUCACGAGCAGUUGUCCAAGCAUUUCACUACAUAUCGUACUGUGUAUGACUGUGUACGUGACAAAUAAAAAUUUGAAUUUGAAUUUGAAUUUGCUCCGCGGCUGCUGAGUGAGCCCUCAUCUGGGACUCUCCUCAGCUCUUUCUGGGACAGUGGCGCGGCUGCCCCUCUGUUGGUCUUCCUUGGUCUCUUGUGUUCUGGGGGCCUCUGGAUGUCUGGAGUUUUGAUCUCCUCCAUACCUGCUUCAUGCCCUGGAGGACGGGGCUGUGGCCCCCCCACACCCUCUAGCAGAUCAUUACAUGAAGGAACCUUUUAAAAAAAACAAGCGCGUCCAUGCUCACAGGUGUACACACGGGUGAUCACACCCACAAACUACACCCUUUUUGGCUCCUACCUCAAAGCACACUGUGUUCUGUUGAUCUUAUGUGCUGCACAAUAAUGUUUAAUAUUUAGUAUUUAUUGUCAUAUUCCCAUAUAUCAUUGUGAUGUGGUUUAUUCUAUUACUCUUGUUCUCUUCUGCUUGUUUUCUUUUUUCUUUCUCAGCAGGUGAUCCAGGUGAUUGAUAUAUGCAUUUUUUAUUUCUUUCCUGCCCGUUCUGUUGGUUUUUGUUUUUUGCCCUUCUCCCCCAUCCCUCUUCUCAGCUGUUUCUCUUUCCCUCUUUCUUUCUCCCCUUCUUUCCCCCAGUCAAGUCUGUCCCGUAUUCAGCAAGUGAAAAUAAAAUAAACAAUAAAAGGUGAAUCAAAUGGACCAUUACGGCAAGGCUGGGAUGGUCAGUUUGGUAAAGUAAAUCUGUUGGGCAUCUUUCUUCGCCUUUAGACAAUAAUUCUGAUGGCAAAAGAGCCAAACGGGACAAGCAGAAGAAAAAAAAAAAAGAAAAAAAAAAAAAGAGUGUGAGUAAGCUGCUUCCAAAAAUAGUUCUGUUUUUAUUGUAAUAACUGGACUGGUUUUCC
ensembl:lncRNA